GACGAACGCUGGCGGCGUGCUUAACACAUGCAAGUCGAACGGAAAGGCCCUGCUUUUGUGGGGUGCUCGAGUGGCGAACGGGUGAGUAACACGUGAGUAACCUGCCCUUGACUUUGGGAUAACUUCAGGAAACUGGGGCUAAUACCGGAUAGGAGCUCCUGCUGCAUGGUGGGGGUUGGAAAGUUUCGGCGUUUGGGGAUGGACUCGCGGCUUAUCAGCUUGUUGGUGGGGUAGUGGCUUACCAAGGCUUUGACGGGUAGCCGGCCUGAGAGGGUGACCGGCCACAUUGGGACUGAGAUUCGGCCCAGUCUCCUUCGUGAGGCAGCAGUGGGGAAGAUUGCACAAUGGGCGGAAGCCUGAUGCAUCAACGCCGCGUGCGGGAUGAUGGCCUUCGGGUUGUAACCCGCUUUCGCCUGUGACGAAGCGUGAGUGACGGUAAUGGGUAAAGAAGCACCGGCUAACUCCGUG
rnacentral:rRNA from 1 species